rnacentral:rRNA from 1 species
UACGAAGGGGGGCUAGCGUUGCUCGGAAUCACUGGGCGUAAAGGGUGCGUAGGCGGGUUCUUAAGUCAGAGGUGAAAUCCUGGAGCUCAACUCCAGAACUGCCUUUGAUACUGAGAGUCUUGAGUAUGACAGAGGUGAGUGGAACUGCGAGUGUAGAGGUGAAAAUUCGUAGAUAUUCGCAAGAACACCAGUGGCGAAGGCGGCUCACUGGGUCAUUACUGACGCUGAGGCACGAAAGCGUGGGGAGCAAACAGGG